rnacentral:tRNA from 1 species
GCCGGGGUAGCUCAGCCUGGUUAGAGUGCCAGUUUCGUGAUCUGGAGGUCGUGGGUUCGAAACCCACCCCCGGCA